AUGUUCCCAUGGCUUGGGCCUCGCCUCUUCCUAUCCUUCGUCAUCAUCUCCACGAUGCCGACACCAUUGCUUGCCGCAGCCUGCGAACCCAAGCGAUGCGGCAACGUGAGCAUCUCAGCCCCGUUCGGGGUCAUCUCGGGUUCUGAGGAGAACAGGUGUGCCCAGCUUGGGUUCCAGGUCCACUGCUCCAACGGAGUCCCGUACCUCGGCUACUAUGAGCCCGAGCACGGGCUACAGAUCCUGGACAUCUUCUACAUCAACGGUUCCUUGCUAGUCUCUGACGUCCACAAACUCAGAGGCUUCAAUCUCUCUGACGAGAAUGGCUGCCAUGUCCCGAAGGCAAACACGGCGACCAAAAUCGGGCAUCCAUUCUCAGUAAGCCCCCUGAAUCAGAACCUCGUCUUCUACAACUGCACCAGGGCUCUGGCGACCCGAGCAGGGCUGGUGGACACAGUCUGCCAGAACAACACGUUUGUCCGCGCGGCAGGGCGUUAUAACGUGUCGGGCAUGAUAGACGGUGGCUACGCUUUGGAGGGAUGCAGCGCCACCGUUGUGCCGGUGCUGGGGCCGUCUGUAGAUGUGAACGCCAGCGACUACGAGGAACUCAUCAGCGAUGGCUUCCUCAUGACAUGGCAGCCGCCAAGUGCCGGUAGUGGUAGCAAGAAGCGAUGGCACAAGAUUAUGCUAAUAGGUAUGACAUCAGCAGCUGCAACCUUUCUCUUUGCAUGUCUUUAUGCGCUGAUAUGGUAUAGAAAGGGGAAGAGGUUAUGGUUUCUCCUUUCCGAGACGACUAAAAGCAACACUGAAAAGAAUUAUGAGGCCAUGAUAGCGUCCUAUGGAUCCCUAGCUCCGAAAAGAUACAUGUACUCAGAGAUAAUGAAGAUAAUGUCUUCUCACGAUGACCAGCUUGGAAAAGGAGGUUUCGGUGUCGUUUUCAAAGGAAGACUACACGAUGGUCGUCUGGUUGCUGUUAAAUUCUUGCAUGACUGCAAAGGAAACGGGGAUGAGUUUGUGAAUGAAGUUAUGAGCAUUGGAAGGACCUCUCAUGUUAAUGUUGUUAGUCUAUUUGGGUUUUGUUUGGAGGGAUCAAAACGUGCUCUUAUAUAUGAGUACAUGCCCAACGGUUCCUUGGAUAAGUACAUUUAUUCAGAGAAGUCCAAAGAAAUUUUAGGAUGGGAGAGGCUCUAUGCGAUAGCAAUUGGGAUUGCUCGUGGCCUCGAAUACUUGCAUCAUAGUUGUAAUACACGUAUCGUCCAUUUUGAUAUCAAGCCCCAAAAUAUCCUUCUAGACAAAGAUUUUAGCCCGAAGAUUGCUGAUUUUGGUCUAGCUAAAUUGUGUCAUACAAAGGAGAGCAAGCUUUCAAUGACUGGAGCUAGAGGAACAAUUGGAUUUAUCGCUCCAGAAGUUCACUAUCGGACCUUCGGGGUGGUUUCAACAAAGUCGGAUGUUUAUAGUUAUGGAAUGAUGCUGCUGGAGAUGGUUGGAGGUAGGAGAAACGUAAAAUCAAUUGUUGCAAAAUCCAGUGAAAAGUAUUUUCCAGAUUGGAUUUAUGACCACUUUGCGCAAGAUGAGGGAUUACAAGCAUGUGAAGUUACAAGAGAAAUUGAGGAGAUCACGAGAAAGAUGAUCAUAAUAGGCUUGUGGUGCAUACAAGUGUUACCUAUGUAUCGACCUACUAUAACAAGUUCUAGAAAUGUUUGAGAGAAGGUUAGAUGAUCUGGACAUGCCGCCGAAGCAGAACUUCUGUGAACUACUUGAAAGCUCAGCUCAGAAUUUGGAUGUAAAAAGUUCAUGUUCUACCAAACCUGAAGAGAUCAGCCUUGUGAAUUCAAAAAUCCUACAACAAUCGCCAACUCUUUGAGCAGAUAGGCCAUGUGAAUCAAAGAACCUACGUUCAUCUCCAACACUGUGAGAAGUUGGCCUGUACUACUGUACAUUCAGAAAUUGAAUUCGGCAUUGUACUUGUAGUAGGAUAUAUUCCAUAUAUGCAUGACCUAGAGUCAAGAGCAGCCGCAUGAUAGCAUCCUAAGUUACCAACCACGGAAGGAAUACAAUUUAUUCUGAUGACUUUUGUGUUACAACUGCUAAAAUGCAUCGGAUGUAGAAAUCUACCAAGACCUUUUUGGCUGUAAAUUUCCCCCAAAACUUAAUACUCGCGAUUUGGGCUCAAACUACAGCCCCAAAAUUUCAAUAUUCCGAUGUAUAUCCAUCUAAACAUUGUUACAAUAUAAGUCAAUUCAUACUUUCAUAGCAAGCAGAU
rnacentral:rRNA from 1 species